AAAAAGUCAAACCCCAGAUUUUCGUGUCCAACUUUGACUGUCUGUCUUAUAUGAAAUUUUUUUAUAAUUCGUAUUUUCAUUGUUGUUAGAUGAUAAAACAUGAUUAAUAUUUUAUGCGUGACUUGUCUUUUUAAUUUUUUUUAUAAUUUUUUCAAAUAAGACGGACGGUCAAACGUUGGACACGAAAACCAGGGUUUGUCUUUUU
rfam:Oryza nivara chromosome 1, whole genome shotgun sequence.